AUGGACGAAGAAGGAAA
rnacentral:sRNA from 1 species